ACUUUCAAUUUUCAAACAUUUCUUUUCCAAACUUUCGUUUUGAAGCAAAAUAUUUUGAAUUAUUUUAUCUCAAUUGGAAGGAAAUACACGAGCUUUUCUAGCGAAAUAUGUCGCACGACGUGACCGUAAACUUCAACGGCAAAUCAUUUAACCUUCGUUUUCAACCAUCCUGGACAAUCUCUCAACUAAAACGCGAAAUUGCUCGCAAGAAAAAUGUCAAAACUGCUGGAAUUAAAAUCAUUUUUGCCGGUCGAGAAUUACCCGAUGAAUUAACACUCGGGAAUGCGGAGAUGAACCACAGCGUCAUUCAUGCUGUUCAGAAAUCUGGUCAGAUCUCAGUUGAUGCAACUUACAAUGCGAAUGAUGGUUUGACGAAAGUGAAACUGACACAGGAUGACGAAGAUGAAGAUGGUGAAUCUCAACAAUCAGGGUCCAAAUGGUUGGGAUGAUGUAUUGAUCAAAGGCUGCAUGCAGGGACAAUGUGAAUCCAAUACAAACUGUCAGGGAACAACAGCGGAAUUUUAUUUCAAAUGUGGGGAACAUCAUGGUAGAGAUGAACAGGCGCCAUUAUCAAUGUUGAAAUCUAACAUCAGAAAUAUUCCCUGCAUCACAUGCUCUGAAACAUCAAAACGCUGAACAUUCCAGUGUUCCAAGAGAUCAGAAAACUGCUAGGGAGUGAAAUUUCAAGGGAAAAAGAGGAAGUUUGUUUUGAAUGCAGAGAUGAACCACAGCGUCAUUCAUGCUGUUCAGAAAUCUGGUCAGAUCUCAGUUGAUGCAACUUACAAUGCGAAUGAUGGUUUGACGAAAGUGAAACUGACACAGGAUGACAAAGAUGAAGAUGGUGAAUCUCAACAAUCAGGCAAGCAAAGUUUCUUCUUUGUUUAUUGUAAAACUUGCAAGAAACUAACACGAGGAAAAUUGCGAUGUCGAUGUUCAAAUUGCAAGGAAGGAAGCUUUGUUCUAUCACAGGGUCCAAAUGGUUGGGAUGAUGUAUUGAUCAAAGGCCGCUUGCAGGGACAAUGUGAAUCCAAUACAAACUGUCAUGGAAAAACAGCUGAAUUUUAUUUCAAAUGUGGAGAACAUCAUGGUAGAGAUGAACAAACGCCAUUAUCAAUGUUGAAAUCUAACAUCAGAAAUAUUCCCUGCAUCACAUGCUCUGAAACAUCAUAAUGCGGUUGAAUGUUUUAAACUUGGUCAGCUUUGCAGCUCAAAUGGUAGAAAUUCAAUCCGUGAAUGUGACAGUCAGGGUUGUGGUGAUUUCGGAACACCAAGAGGCUCUCGUACACACAAUGGUGUCGACAUAAUUUGCAAACCAGGGAGUUCUGUCAUGACACCAUUUGCUGCGAAGAUCUGACGAAAAUCACGUUCUUAUUCAAACAACAACAAACCAUAUAACAAUGGAUUGUAUAUUCAAGGAAGCGGAGAAGCCGAAGAUAUAAAAUGGAUAUUUCAGGUGGUCUUGGAAGAUCUGCUGGAAAGAUAUGGCGUGUUGGUCUGAUGGGGUUGAACAGUACAAAAGAUAAUGUAAAUCUUGUACUAAAAGCCUUCAAGGACGCGAUGGAAAACGUGAAAUUACAAAACAAUCUGUGAGCAAACUUGAAACAAGAAUUUUAUUUUAGUUGACAAACCAAUUUAUAUUAGUUAA